rnacentral:rRNA from 1 species
AGCGCAGGCGGACCGGCAAGUUGGAAGUGAAAACUAUGGGCUCAACCCAUAAAUUGCUUUCAAAACUGCUGGCCUUGAGUAGUGCAGAGGUAGGUGGAAUUCCCGGUGUAGCGGUGGAAUGCGUAGAUAUCGGGAGGAACACCAGUGGCGAAGGCGGUCUACUGGGCACCAACUGACGCUGAGGUGCGAAAGCGUGGGGAGCGAACA